rnacentral:rRNA from 1 species
CCUACGGGUGGCAGCAGUGAGGAAUAUUGGUCAAUGGGCGAGAGCCUGAACCAGCCAAGUCGCGUGCGGGAGUAAUGCCCUAUGGGUUGUAAACUUCUUUUAUAAAGGAAUAAAGCGAGGCACGUGUGCCUUUUUGCAUGUACUUUAUGAAUAAGGAUCGGCUAACUCCGUGCCAGCAGCCGCGGUAAUACGGAGGAUCCGAGCGUUAUCCGGAUUUAUUGGGUUUAAAGGGAGCGUAGAUGGGUGUUUAAGUAAGUUGUGAAAGUUUGCGGCUCAACCGUAAAAUUGCAAUUGAUACUGGCAGUCUUGAGUACAGUUGAGGUAGGCGGAAUUCGUGGUGUAGCGGUGAAAUGCUUAGAUAUCACGAAGAACCCCGAUUGCGAAGGCAGCUUACUAAACUAUGACUGACAUUGAUGCUCGAAAGUGUGGGUAUCAAACAGGAUUAGAUACCCCAGUAGUC